ensembl:lncRNA
CAAGAAGAGAUGCUGAGGUCCCGGCAAGCAGGCCACACAAGAGAACAAGUUUCCAAAGCUGAAACAUCUCGUCCUGAUACCUGGACAGUCAUGGGAGGAUCAGGAACGGGCAGCCCAGGUCAGGAAGCCAGAGAAACUUACUUGCCCAGAGACAAACAACCGGUGGAUGAAGGAGCUACCAUGUGAUAAGUCACACUUGACUCCAGGAAUCCCAUCCGCUCCUUGGGCACAGUGAUAACUGCCCACUCUCUGAGGCCAUGAGGACCAGGACCAUAGGGCAUCACCCCCAGGACCUGACACGCAGAUGCUCAACAAUUCUAUUACAGCCUGCAGAAGCAUUUUUCUUUAUUGCUGAUUAAGGUGUACAUAUUUAGAAAUGCAUGCAUUUCAUUUAUAACAGCA